UCGACCGUACUUUACAGGAUCAUGUAUAUAGUACGUUUCCCGUCUUUGUUUUCCAAACAAGACACAUUUACUAAGUUGGAUGAGGAUGGAGAGCACCGGUUCAUAGCGGGAAGUGGUGAUUACAUUUGUUUUUUAAAUGGGUGUUUUCAUUUUGAAGAUCGUGCCUGUCAAAAUUCCAUUGACAUGGCAAGGACUUGGUUGCUUUCUGACAACU
rnacentral:snoRNA from 1 species